rnacentral:lncRNA from 1 species
CAGACACUGACACACAGACACAGACACACACACACACACACACACACACACACACACACACACACACACACACACAGACACAGACACAGACACAGACACAGACACAGACACAGACACAGACACACAGACACACAGACAGACACAGACACAGACACACAGACACACAGACACACAGACACAGACACAGACACAGACACAGACACAGACACAGUCACAGACACAGACACAGACACAGACACAGACACAGACACAGACACAGAGACACACAGACACAGACACAGACACAGACACAGACACAGACACAGACACAGACACAGACACAGACACAGACACAGACACAGGGAGAGACACAGACACAGAGAGAGACACAGACACAGACACAGACACAGACACAGACACAGACACAGACACAGACACAGACACAGACACACACAGACACAGACACAGACACAGACACAGACAAGCUUUAACCAGGAGAUAAAGAGAGGGACACAGACACAGACACAGACACAGACACAGACACAGACACAGACACAGACACAGACACACACACACACACAGACACAGACACAGACACAGGGAGAGAGACACAGGGAGAGAGACAGACACAGACACAGACACAGACACAGACACAGGGAGAGACACAGACACAGACACAGACACAGACACAGACACAGACACAGAGAAACACACAGGCCUCUUUUCUUGAGACGAGCCCACGACAACAAAAACAUGUUGUCGACAUACACAAACAGGCUUUGUGGCAUAUUAAUAAGAGUAUAUUAUCUUCAGUAGUGGCAUAUUAAUAAGAGUAGACUUAUCUUCAGUAGUGGCAUAUUAAUAAGAGUAUAUUAUCUUCAGUAGUGGCAUAUUAAUAAGAGUAGACUUAUCCUCAGUAGUGGCAUAUUAAUAAGAGUAUCUUCAGUAGUGGCAUAAUAAUAAGAGUAGACUUAUCCUCAGUAGUGGCAUAUUAAUAAGAGUAUCUUCAGUAGUGGCAUAAUAAUAAGAGUAGACUUAUCCUCAGUAGUGGCAUAUUAAUAAGAGUAGUGGCU